rnacentral:lncRNA from 1 species
AAAAAUUUUGAUCACAAACUUAUGGCCCUGGUUUAUGGAAGACUCGGAUGCAGAUCUCAGGUCAGAUGUUCUGAUUUGGAGCAAGGAUUGAGCCUUGGUUCUUCCUGCCACAGGGCACCUUGGCAAGAGACUUGCAGAUAUUUAAAACCCCUAAUUAAUGCCAGG